CCAUAUGUAUCCUCCAAAGCAUGCAAGGAUGUAAAUUUUUUUCAAAUAAUGUUCAGUUUUAAAUGGCGCGAUUACCACAUUUUCCGAACCCUGAUGAAUAAGCUGGACAGUCUUUUCGAAAAUCGUGAACAAUUACGGCGAUGGCCUAGGUUAUCGUUGAGACAUACCCCGGAACAACAACAAGUUCGAAGGCGGAUCUUUCCCUGGCAGGAAAGUGGACAGAGCUUCGACGGAGCGCGGAAAAGACUUUGUGAUGGGGAAUUGGAAACGGAUAAUGUUCAGGGCUAACAGGACCCCAUAUAUCUGAUCCCCGACAUUUACGCAGCUUUUACGCGAUUUACCUGAUCUGGAACAUGAUGGGGGUUCGCAGGAGCAAAAGUCUGGCAGACAAUCACCAACGGCCUUUUUUCGUUCCGACAUACAGCCCUUUAUGAUAAAGGAUGCGUUAUGGACAGCUGACACGCAGGACUUUGAUGCAAUUCUACCGUUCUGUACGAGCGCUUUUUCAAACUCACCGCGAAUCCAGGGAACAUCGACCCCCUCCCGACAUAUUCCAGACCC